UCCAGUCUGAUCACAGCUAGAAUCCAAUUAGCAUAUCCGUAAUUAAUGCACCGAUUCUAGUCCCUAAAAAAGCGAUUUCCAAACCCAUCAACUAUCCCACUUUCCCUUUUUUCUUUCUACGCAAAUACCACCUAUCGAACAACCCUCAGUCAGGUUCUCUUCUUCUCCACAAAUUCACCUCCGAUGUUUCUUGCUCAGGGACCCUUCUGAUCAGGCAAUGGAACCAACUGGUGGGCACCAACACAUAGACUUGUGCCUCGUGAUCGCCCACAAAGGGCAACAAAAUACUCGACAUUGAAUGCUGGAACUAUUCUUGAACACUCAGCAGUUACUCCACAUUUGGGACAUACUACCACCGAUAGCAAUCUCUUACACCGAAGAUUAACAAAAUGAUGAAUAAAAUUCCAAGAAAUUUUCCAGAUUAGGAUUUUAAUUUUCCCUGGAAUAUGAAUAUCCCACAAAUUUUUGUAAAAUAAAUUAGCCUCAGUCUUUAAAUAAUUAGGAAGAAAGCCAUGUAAAAAUUUGUAAGCACUUCGCACAGAGAAUUCCCCAGAGGCCUCUCCCUUCCAUACCAUGAAGUCCGUAUGAGGUUCCAUUGCUACGGGAAUUCGCACAAUUCUAUUUGCCUCUUCUCUAGAGAAGAUCAAAGGAGCCACGCAUCAGCAGCAAUUUAAAUAUUCUAGCCCGUUCCCACCCUCCAACAAAUCCCAGUCUUUAGCAAUCCUUUAGCUGCCCAUACACUCUUCCAGAUAUAUGAAGGUAGUUGUCCUAACUCAGUUGGAAUGUACUUAGCCUUUAGAACUUUCAUUAAUAAUGAAUCUGGAUAAUUAAGAAUA